rnacentral:lncRNA from 1 species
GGCUGGAGUCGGGCAAUGGAGAGACUGACUUGGUGGCCCCUGGAGCUGAGUUCCCAUACUGGCACUUUGCCAGAUGGAUGGAUGAAGACUGACCUUCUGCCAGCAUGCAUCUGUCCCUUUGGGUCACCUGUGGAUGGCACUUAGUGCUCAAGAUACACCUGAGCUUUGUUAUUCAGUAGGAGAAUUCAGCUCUUCUAAACCCAGAUGCCUCUCAGUGUCCCUCCAGCACUGUACCGGAUGCUUUUCUUCACAAAGUGACUGUUUAUCAUCUAAGAGAAGCCUCUGUGGUAAGUGAGCUCCUGGAGCUGUUAGAUCACUGUGUCCCUGUCUGCUUCUGCGGUUCCUCUGUGACAUUUCACACUGUC